AAUCUAUUAAUUCCUUACACUGUGCCAUUGCUAAGCGAUUUUGUGUGGAAUAUUUCACAUUUUGUUGAGGUUAUUCGUUUUGAAAUCAGUUGUAGAAAUGCUGUCACGUGAAGCUCCCAACACUGAAUGCAUCACAUCUUUAGCUGGUGUUAUAAAGAGAAAAGAAGAUGUUCCUGAAAUGUUGAGUGAGAACAAUGUGUCCAAAAUAUAUUCUGAUGAUGAAGAUUCUGAUAAAGAUGAUUUUGAUCCCAAAUUUACCAGGAUUUCUUGACGACUAUUACCGUAUUCGCAAAGACGUCACUGAAAAAUUAAAACAAUUUUCUUGGAUAAAUGGAUAUUGCGGGAUAACAGUCAACCCAGAACCACGUUUAUAUGUGACUGUAGUAAAGCAGAGAAAAAAUGAUGAAGAUUCUUUAAAGAAUGAGAUCAACGACAAAUUUGGAUGGAAAGCGUCUGAUUAUAUUGAUUUUCGUUAUGCCAACAGCUCAUUAGCGACGUUUCGAUAUUUGUCAACUCAAGCCAGUAAAGUAAG